rnacentral:lncRNA from 1 species
UCAAUUCACCAUUUUCUACAUUGCCUGUACCAAGUCAGGAAUAUGACAGUUGUCCAUUCGUUUGUUGUGUUUUAUAAUUUGAUUUUGCCAUUUGAUAAUGGACUUUCCGUUUUGUAUUUUCCUCGGAGUUCAGGAUUUUUGUGAUUUUUCUUUUGACACGAUCAUUAAAUACCAGCGAAAAAUAUCUUUAUUAAGUAAAGAAUUGUCGCAUAAAGAUUACACGGGAAAUGGCAAUGGUCACAAAGUCUAGUAGUCUGAUUAAUCAUUUUUC